rnacentral:rRNA from 1 species
AGUGAACGCUGGCGGUAGGCCUAACACAUGCAAGUCGAACGGCAGCACAGGAGAGCUUGCUCUCUGGGUGGCGAGUGGCGGACGGGUGAGGAGUACAUCGGAAUCUACUUUUUCGUGGGGGAUAACGUAGGGAAACUUACGCUAAUACCGCAUACGACCUACGGGUGAAAGCAGGGGACCUUCGGGCCUUGCGCGAUUGAAUGAGCCGAUGUCGGAUUAGCUAGUUGGCGGGGUAAAGGCCCACCAAGGCGACGAUCCGUAGCUGGUCUGAGAGGAUGAUCAGCCACACUGGAACUGAGACACGGUCCAGACUCCUACGGGAGGCAGCGGUGGGGAAUAUUGGACAAUGGGCGCAAGCCUGAUCCAGCCAUACCGCGUGGGUGAAGAAGGCCUUCGGGUUGUAAAGCCCUUUUGUUGGGAAAGAAAUCCAGCUGGCUAAUACCCGGUUGGGAUGACGGUACCCAAAGAAUAAGCACCGGCUAACUUCGUGCCAGCAGCAGCCGCGG